rnacentral:rRNA from 1 species
CCCUGAUGUUAGCGGCGGACGGGUGAGUAACACGUGGGUAACCUGCCUGUAAGACUGGGAUAACUCCGGGAAACCGGGGCUAAUACCGGAUGCUUGAUUGAACCGCAUGGUUCAAUUAUAAAAGGUGGCUUUUAGCUACCACUUACAGAUGGACCCGCGGCGCAUUAGCUAGUUGGUGAGGUAACGGCUCACCAAGGCAACAAUGCGUAGCCAACCUGAGAGGGUGAUCGGCCACACUGGGACUGAAACACGGCCCAAACUCCUACGGGAGGCAGCAGUAGGGAAUCUUCCGCAAUGGACAAAAGUCUGACGGACCAACGCCGCGUGAGUGAUGAAGGUUUUCGGAUCGUAAAACUCUGUUGUUAGGGAAAAACAAGUACCGUUCGAAUAGGGCGGUACCUUGACGGUACCUAACCAGAAAGCCACGGCUAACUACGUGCCAGCAGCCGCGGUAAUACGUAGGUGGCAAGCGUUGUCCGGAAUUAUUGGGCGUAAAGCGCGCGCAGGCGGUUUCUUAAGUCUGAUGUGAAAGCCCCCGGCUCACCCGGGGAGGGUCAUUGGAAACUGGGGAACUUGAGUGCAAAAGAGGAGAGUGGAAUUCCACGUGUAGCGGUGAAAUGCGUAGAGAUGUGGAGAAACACCAGUGGCGAAGGCGACUCUCUGGUCUGUAACUGACGCUGAGGCGCGAAAGCGUGGGGGAGCGAACAGGAUUAGAUACCCUGGUAGUCCACGCCGUAAACGAUGAGUGCUAAGUGUUAGAGGGUUUCCGCCCUUUAGUGCUGCAGCAAACGCAUUAAGCACUCCGCCUGGGGAGUACGGUCGCAAGACUGAAACUCAAAG